CACUGUGGGUGGCGAGUGGCGGACGGGUGAGUAAUGCAUCGGGACCUACCUAGACGUGGGGGAUAACGUAGGGAAACUUACGCUAAUACCGCAUACGUCCUACGGGAGAAAGCAGGGGAUCUUCGGACCUUGCGCGGUUAGACGGACCGAUGUUCGAUUAGCUAGUUGGUAGGGUAAAGGCCUACCAAGGCGACGAUCGAUAGCUGGUCUGAGAGGAUGAUCAGCCACACUGGAACUGAGACACGGUCCAGACUCCUACGGGAGGCAGCAGUGGGGAAUAUUGGACAAUGGGCGCAAGCCUGAUCCAGCAAUGCCGCGUGUGUGAAGAAGGCCUUCGGGUUGUAAAGCACUUUUAUCAGGAGCGAAAUGCCAUUGGUUAAUACCCGAUGGAGCUGACGGUACCUGAGGAAUAAGCACCGGCUAACUUCGUGCCAGCAGCCGCGGUAAUACGAAGGGUGCAAGCGUUAAUCGGAAUUACUGGGCGUUAAGCGUGCGUAGGCGGAUUGUUAAGUCUGUUGUGAAAUCCCCGGGUCU
rnacentral:rRNA from 1 species